GAUCCUGGCUCAGAUUGAACGCUGGCGGCAGGCCUAACACAUGCAAGUCGAGCGGAUGAGAGGAGCUUGCUCCUCGAUUCAGCGGCGGACGGGUGAGUAAUGCCUAGGAAUCUGCCUAGUAGUGGGGGACAACGUUUCGAAAGGAACGCUAAUACCGCAUACGUCCUACGGGAGAAAGUGGGGGAUCUUCGGACCUCACGCUAUUAGAUGAGCCUAGGUCGGAUUAGCUGGUUGGUAGGGUAAAGG
rnacentral:rRNA from 1 species